AACGAACGCUGGCGGCGUGCCUAAUACAUGCAAGUCGAACGAGAAAGUGACUUCGGUCAUGAGUAAAGUGGCAGACGGGUGAGUAAUACAUAGGUAACCUACCCUCGAGAUAGGGACAACCUUCCGAAAGGAGGGCUAAUACCGAAUAAGACCACAGUUACUACGGUAACAGGGUCAAAGGAUGGCCUCUACUUGUAAGCUAUCGCUUGAGGAUGGGCUUAUGCACCAUUAGCCUGUUGGUGAGGUAACGGCUCACCAAAGCUUUUAUGGUUAGCUGAUCUGAGAGGUUGAUCAGCCACACUGGAACUGAGACACGGUCCAGACUCCUACGGGAGGCAGCAGUAGGGAAUAUUGCGCAAUGGAGGAAACUCUGACGCAGCGACGCCGCGUGGGUGAUGAAGGUCUUCGGAUCGUAAAGCCCUGUCGGAAGGAAAGAAAAGUAUUAUGGCUAACAUCCAUAGUAUUUGACGGUACUUUAAAGGAAGCACCGGCUAACUACGUGCCAGCAG
rnacentral:rRNA from 1 species